UACGUAGGUGGCAAGCGUUGUCCGGAUUUACUGGGCGUAAAGCGCACGCAGGUGGCUGAGUCAGUCGAUUGUGAAAGCCCUGGGCUUAACCUGGGAAUUGCAGUCGAUACUACUCGGCUCGAGUAUGGGAGAGGGCAGUGGAAUUCCCGGUGUAGCGGUGAAAUGCGUAGAUAUCGGGAGGAACAUCAGUGGCGAAGGCGGCUGCCUGGCCCAAUACUGACACUCAGGUGCGACAGCGUGGGGAGCAAACAGG
rnacentral:rRNA from 1 species